UACGUAGGUGGCAAGCGUUGUCCGGAAUUAUUGGGCGUAAAGCGCGCGCAGGCGGUCCUUUAAGUCUGAUGUGAAAGCCCACGGCUCAACCGUGGAGGGUCAUUGGAAACUGGGGGACUUGAGUACAGAAGAGAAGAGUGGAAUUCCACGUGUAGCGGUGAAAUGCGCAGAUAUCAGGAGGAACACCGGUGGCGAAGGCGCAGCAUCGUGGCCCGAUACUGACGCUGAGGCGCGAAAGCUAGGGGAGC
rnacentral:rRNA from 1 species